CUACAUAGCAGGCAGAUGCCUGCAGACACUGGGCAUAAGAAAGCUCAUGCAGUGUGCAGUCCCUGACUUAGUAAGGAGCAGACACCAGUAGGAGAAGGCAGCCAAAUCCUCUGAGCCUAAGGAGUAAGUGGGGCCAGUGGAGGGAAAUAAAUUGCAACCCAGCACCAGGAAGAGAGCUGGCAACUCCUGAUAAGGAGGUGGAUAAUAAUUGUUUGAAUUACCUGCCACCAGGAGGAGAGCUGGGCCUACGGCCAUAUGGAGAAGAUACACAGAAAGAAAUUGCCACCCUGCUCCAGGAAGCAAGAUAGCAGAAGAUAAGCAGACUCCAAGGAAAGUAGGAUUCAAGCUGACAGGAUGCAGGAUCAGGACCUUCAGAGACUCAGGAACCACACAGGUGAACAGCUGCAAAUAUUUCUCUCUAGCAGAGGCUAGUGAAGAUUAGGAGAAAACGGCAGACACA